GUGCGUACGGAGCGGGCAUCGCCCUCGCUUCGCUACCCCGAGUCCGAGGGCCCUCCCGAAGUCCCCGCACCUCCGCCGGGCCGGGAGGGAAGGGGAGAGGGGAGGGGGGGCUGCCCGCAGCUGACUCUGCCUUAGGACAAUUAAUCUUUAGGCUUUCACCCUGGGAGGCAGGAUAAAUACAACGAGAAAACAGAUAGGAGUCUCUCUGGUCCUAGUUUUACUGCACUCCAUUUAUCAAUUGGACUUGACAACAAAAGAAUGAACGGGGGGAAAACCUGGGGCAGAUUCAAGUCACUUCCACUCUGUAUGAAGGAAGGGGGAGUUCCUUACGGGCACGGUGCGGGUUGUCAGUCCCGCUGCAGCGGCGGCAGCUUUUGUGCGAUGCUUCUCCCUCUGCCCCCCGAUCCUUUCACUGUCACGGCCUCGGAAGAACACAGCGGGCACGGCGACACGGAAGCCCGGCUCUGCCCUGCACCGACACGUUCCGGCGACACGUUCCGCGCUUCCAGAGAACACACAGAAAUUAAAAAAGUUUGUUAAAAUCGUCUUUCUAGGAGGCGAGGGCACUUCCGCGUAUCGCCCCGUUCUAUCCAACGUGCCAAAGAGCGCGGCGGUUCAAUAAAAGCCACCCGAGAUACCGACCCGGCUGCGGGACCGACGGAGCACCGCUCUGGGGGCGGGGAGGGCGUCGGAGAAAGGCGGCCCGUGGGGAGAGGGCCGCUGGGGGCCGCCCGGCGCGGGGUCCGGGGGUGGCGGUGCGGGGAAGGAGAAGGUGAAGGCGAAGGACGGGGUUCGGCGGGGCCGAGAGCGAGCGGGGAAAGUCCUUCCCCACGCCCACCCCUCCCCGAGCGGCGCCUGUUCUGGUCGGAGUCCAGGUCAGGAAUUGGCCGCGACCCCUGAAGCACUUGCCUUGUUCUUCACUUGUCAAACGUGUUUUAUCUCUAAGUGACCUUUUUGUUAAUGUUGUAGAUUGUGUGGGCCACCAUGUCAGAUCCGGAAACAAAAGUAAAAGAUUGAUUAACACGUUUUGCCUGUGGAAAAAAAAAAAAAUUGUUACGGGAUGAGGAGGUGGGGAAGAGCGGGACGGGAAGUACAAAGGGGAGAGCGGCGGGCGGCGCGGGGAGCGGCAGAAGGGCCGCGGGCAGCGCUCACGCUG
ensembl:lncRNA